rnacentral:rRNA from 1 species
CCUACGGGUGGCAGCAGUGGGGAAUAUUGGGCAAUGGGCGCAAGCCUGACCCAGCAACGCCGCGUGAAGGAAGAAGGCUUUCGGGUUGUAAACUUCUUUUCUCAGGGACGAAGAAAGUGACGGUACCUGAGGAAUAAGCCACGGCUAACUACUUGCCAGCAGCCGCGGUAAUACGUAGGUGGCAAGCGUUAUCCGGAUUUACUGGGUGUAAAGGGCGUGUAGGCGGGACUGCAAGUCAGAUGUGAAAACCACGGGCUCAACCUGUGGCCUGCAUUUGAAACUGUAGUUCUUGAGUACUGGAGAGGCAGACGGAAUUCCUAGUGUAGCGGUGAAAUGCGUAGAUAUUAGGAGGAACACCAGUGGCGAAGGCAGCUUACCAAGCUACUUCUGACGUUGAGGCACGAAAGCGUGGGGAGCAAACAGGAUUAGAUACCCUGGUAGUC